UGGCAUACCUGACAGGGCACAUACCCUGAUCACGAAGGUGGUUUUUCCAGGGCAAGGCUUAUCCAUUGCACUCCUGUUGUGCUGACCCCUGAAAUUUCCCCAAAUGUGGGAAACUCGACUACAUAAUUUGUAGUAGUGGGGGACUGCAUUCACACUCUCCCCUG
ensembl:snRNA Gm24624 U1 spliceosomal RNA